UUCGGUAAUGAUUCUUGGAUAUCUUAGUGGCGGACGGGUGAGUAACGCGUGAGCAACCUGCCUUUCAGAGGGGGAUAACGUUUGGAAACGAACGCUAAUACCGCAUGAUAUUAUUGAGCUGCAUGGCUUGAUAAUCAAAGGAGUAAUCCGCUGAAAGAUGGGCUCGCGUCCGAUUAGGUAGUUGGCGGGGCAACGGCCCACCAAGCCGACGAUCGGUAGCCGGACUGAGAGGUUGAACGGCCACAUUGGGACUGAGACACGGCCCAGACUCCUACGGGAGGCAGCAGUGAGGGAUAUUGGUCAAUGGGGGAAACCCUGAACCAGCAACGCCGCGUGAGGGAAGACGGUUUUCGGAUUGUAAACCUCUGUCCUCUGUGAAGAUAACGACGGUAGCAGAGGAGGAAGCUCCGGCUAACUACGUGCCAGCAGCCGCGGUAAUACGUAGGGAGCAAGCGUUGUCCGGAUUUACUGGGUGUAAAGGGUGCGUAGGCGGCUUUGCAAGUCAGAAGUGAAAUCCAUGGGCUUAACCCAUGAACUGCUUUUGAAACUGCAGAGCUUGAGUGGAGUAGAGGUAGGCGGAAUUCCCGGUGUAGCGGUGAAAUGCGUAGAGAUCGGGAGGAACACCAGUGGCGAAGGCGGCCUGCUGGGCUCUAACUGACGCUGAGGCACGAAAGCGUGGGUAGCAAACAGGAUUAGAUACCCUGGUAGUCCACGCUGUAAACGAUGA
rnacentral:rRNA from 1 species